rnacentral:lncRNA from 1 species
CGAGUUCAUAGACAUGCGGCACGCCCGAUUCCGAGUUGUAACGAAGGAGAAACGGUCUAGAAACGAAAAGGACGUUUACAAUACCGUUGCUACAGUAAUCGGGCUGUUUUAAAAUUUUCCUUUUUUCUUCUUUUUUUUCUUCUCCUUCUCCUUCCCUCUCCCAUUGGAGAACAGUAGCCCCUUCCCUUUGUUAGUAUUCAUCCGAACAGUAUUUAGGUUGCCAUCUCCUCCUCCGGCCACCCCAAGUGACCGCAUGGGUACCAAAAGAACCAGCACAUUGUCCUCUACCAGCCUCACAUCUCAGCCGCUGCCAACUGCCGUUGG